GUUUGUCUGUGUAAAAAGAAAGUCGCAGUUUGUUGUAAAUCUGUUGAAGUAUAAGACUGUGAAAGUACAUAAUUAGAAAGACGACACACCCAAAAGUUGCGUAUAAGUGACGUUUCUCUCGCUGAAGCAAUACGAUGCCUGUGUGUUUCGUCCUGGGAUGAACUCACACCAGCGAUGGGUCUCGCUUGUUCUUUCUCAUUCUGGGUUAAACAACUAAUCGA